GCAAGUCCCGACAACGGACACCACCCCACUCUCUGCAACAAGCUCCAUAUGGCCCUGAACGACCCCUGACACCACUACUCUCCGUAACAAACUCCACGCGGCUCUGAGCGGUCCACUACUAGGUGGUUAUAGACGUCGCUGUCAAUUAGUUAUGCACUCCGUCUAUAAAAAGGGACCCCCAGAUACGUUCUUCUCUAAGCUGGUAACUCUAUCUCGAAAC
rnacentral:lncRNA from 1 species